rnacentral:lncRNA from 10 species
GAAAGAAAAUCCGUUAAGGAUCUGUGGACUGGAGCAGAGAUCAGGCUAUCCCUGGCUGGCGCCCGGGGCUCCCCCAGACUCCUCUCCCAGCCACAGGGCCGAGGGGCCAGUGCUUUUGGCUGACACCCCGCCUCCCGCCUGCAGCCCCAGUUUCCAGCCCUUGGCACAGAUAGGCUCUUGCGAAAGGGACGACUCCAACGCAGAGAUGCCCAGUCAGCACUGUGCCCUCUCCCGCCAAACGCGCUUACGCUGCCCAAGUGCACACUACGGUCUCCUUCACCCACAGGCUGCUCUAUGUGAGCGUGCCGCGCCCGCGGUCCCAGCUCCGUGCGUGGAGUUACUACUUCUGGGGUGCAAGCCCUGGUCCCGCUGGUCAUGGAGGAGGGCAUUGUGCCCAGCCCAGCCCUCUCUACUCCCUUACUGCCAGAGAUGCGGUCUCAGUAUGUUGUCCAGGCUGAUCUCAGAUCCUUGGCCUCAAAGGAUCCUCCUGUCUGGGUCUCUCAAACUGCUGGGAAUACAAGCAUGAGCCACCACAGCUGACGAACAGCUAUUUUUGAAUAAAGUAAAGGAAGAGAGGGAGGGAGAGAAGAAGGAAGAAGAAAAAAAAGAAAAGAAGUGAAGGAGGGUUAACUACAGCCAAAGAAAAAGAAGCAGCCCAACAGAGAGCUCAGGAAAAUUACACUUCAUACAUCCAACUGCUAUGGAAGAGGAUGGAGGUGAGAAGCGGAGGGAGAAAGAAGGAUGUGAUAUUCCAUCCCCAUUAAGAAAAUUUUUCAAGCCCCCAAUCUGAACCUACUGAAUCAGAAUUUGAGGAGAUGAGACCUGUAUACCUAGAUUUUCAAAAGACUCUCAACUCUAUCCACUCUCAUCACUUCUAUUUAACAUUAUACUGGAGGUCCUGGCCAGGGAAGUAAGGACACAAUUGGAGAAACUGGUUAUUUUGCCAAGGCUUUGAUGGGAAUGGCGUGGUUCCCUUUAAGGAAGCAAAUUUGACUUAUAGAGCCAAUAAAAGCCCCUUGGGAAAACUGGCCUCAUACCUUGUCUACACAGUACUUGUACAGGGCUCCUGACCUAUGCUAUGCGGUUCAGCGGGAUGACCCCGCUACGGAGCAUUAUUGUCUCAUUCCAGUCGAAUGGACCAAUCACAUAGCAAUGUGUGACCUUGAGACUGGAGAAGGAAUUGAGCCUAACUUCAUCCCCCACCCCCUUCCAACCUCCAUUCUACCUCUACUUCCAGCAUUUUCUUACUUGCAGACCCAGAAGAGGUUGGAGGUCCUGGCCAGUCUCUCACUCUUUUCCUUCUUCACUCACAUUUUUAUGUGUCUUUAAGUGGCUGGGAACAGCCAUGUUGACUCCAUACACCCAGAAGUUUGAGGAGAGUUUGCUAUUACAUCACUUCUGCUAAUUUCAGCUCUGCUGUUGAGCACACAGACCUCAGCAAAUCAACCAGACCAUUUCCAACCCCUCUUGACUUUAAGAAGACUGGGUCAUGCUCUGAGAAAUGAAAGCAGAGAAGGAGAUGGCUUGCAAGCCCCCUGAGGUUACCACGAUAAGUUGGCUUGAGAGGGAGGUAAAAGCAAUUCAGAGGACCACUUGGGAAAGCCCAGACAGGAUAUUAUCAGUGGCGUGUGUAAAGUUCCCAUCACCAUCUAAAGUGAAAGAUGCCAGAAUUAUAAAAACUGACUGCAUUAUCUUCUCAGCUCUGCUUUGUGACUUCUAAGAAUUCAACUGCUUUUCUAUUUUAAAAUAGGGACAUUGUCCUCCUUCUCAAUGCAUCACCUGUAUCAUUUGGGACAUGCCCAUCAUCAGGUUGCUUUGACUGAACACCUUAAACAUUUCAUGGAAAACAGAAAAUAUGUGAAAAAAAAAAUCUCCUCCUAGUCACGAGAUCCCAUAUAACACUCCAGCUUCUUCUUUAAUGUGGUGGAAAAACAUUCUAAAUACCCCAACAGAAGGGCAAGAAAACUGGAACCUAACUGACCAUCUUGAAACAUGUAAUAAAAACGGA